GUGCGUAGGUGGUUGUUUAAGUCUGUCGUGAAAGCCCUGGGCUCAACCUGGGAAUUGCGAUGGAAACUGGGCGACUAGAGUGUGGCAGAGGGUAGUGGAAUUCCUGGUGUAGCAGUGAAAUGCGUAGAGAUCAGUAGGAACAUCCGUGGCGAAGGCGACUGCCUGGGCCAACACUGACACUGAGGCACGAAAGCGUGGGAGCAAACA
rnacentral:rRNA from 1 species